ACAGUCGUUUGUAUAAUACUCUUGCUAUCUUUUUACAAUGGUUGUGAAGAACUGGCUGUUCACUUUGACUGUAUUUGCAUCACAUGUCCUUGAGACCAAAUCAGUUGGAGACAGUGUCCGUCAGCCACAUAAACUUCUAGCAGCUCAUGAAGGAGAGAGUGUAAGUCUGGACUGUAAAUAUGAGACAACUGCAUCAGCACCAUCACUCUUCUGGUAUAUUAAGUACGCAGAGGACCACCCAAAAUACGUCUUGCGAAAAGAUGUGAUCGGACCAGGGCACACUGAUGAGGACUUCAAGGGGAGAUUUGAUGCCCUUCUGACUUCUGCUGUCAGAAACGUAUCUCUGAGGAUCCAGAAUGUGCAGCUAUCUGACUCUGCUGUGUACUACUGUGCUCUGAGGCCCACAGUGACUUCAGGAUAUAUUGUGUCAUACAACAACAUUGAGUGGUAGCUGGGGUGUUUUUACAUGUUUUCUAAAAACAAAAUUAAACAAAUUCUUUACAUCAUGAGUGAGUAGAAACACAACUUGAGGACAGCUACUGGGUGUGUCACAAUGUGUUCCAGUGGGAUCGUUCAAUUAAUUUGAACUGAAUAUAAUUCCGUCUGUACUGUUGGAAAGGCAACAUUCAGUCAAAAUGGAGACUAGCCUACAAUGUAUGUAUUCUGGUGGUAGGCCAGACUGCAGAGUGAAUCAGGAAAGUUCCAGAUAUAAAAUGUACAGCAAAUGUUAUUGCCCAGACUGAAAAAACCUCAGAAAGAGGAGGAGAUGAGAAGGAAUGUAUCUUCUCACGAUACAUGUAGGUCUCCACCAGAGAGUUUGCUCUCUCUCCACCCACACAUCUCAGUAAAGACAUGGAGCACUGGCAGAGGAACCUACCACUGAUUCUAACUUUAUCUUUUGGUAUGACACUACUAUACCUGUAACUGUAAUUAACCAUAUCAUAUAUCCUCAUAAUGCCUUAAAUAUUUUGGCUGAUGAAAUAAUCCAUACAUUUUGUUUUUGUCUCUUUUCCAGAAUGCAGAGGUGAAGACUGUCACUCAGUCAACAGGAGUUCUGACUGGAGAGAGACAGUUACACUUGACUGUAAUUUUGACACAACUAAU